GACGAACGCUGGCGGCGUGCUUAACACAUGCAAGUCGAGCGGAAAGGCCACUUCGGUGGUACUCGAGCGGCGAACGGGUGAGUAACACGUGAGUAAUCUGCCCUUGGCUUUGGGAUAGCCACCGGAAACGGUGAUUAAUACCGGAUAUGACCACUUCACGCAUGUGAUGGUGGUGGAAAGUUUUUCGGCCAGGGAUGUGCUCGCGGCCUAUCAGCUUGAUGGUGAGGUAAUGGCUCACCAUGGCUUCGACGGGUAGCCGACCUGAGAGGGUGACCGGUCACACUGGGACUGAGACACGGCCCAGACUCCUACGGGAGGCAGCAGUGGGGAAUAUUGGACAAUGGGCGGAAGCCUGAUCCAGCAACGCCGCGUGAGGGAUGACGGCCUUCGGGUUGUAAACCUCUUUCAGCAGGGACGAAGCGCAAGUGACGGUACCUGCAGAAGAAGCACCGGCCAACUACGUGCCAGCAGCCGCCGCCGUAA
rnacentral:rRNA from 1 species